AGAGUUUGAUCCUGGCUCAGAACGAACGCUGGCGGCGUGGCUAAGACAUGCAAGUCGUACGAAUUGCCUUAUUGAGUAAUCGAGAAGGCGAUUAGUGGCGAAAGGGUGAGUAAUGCGUAGGUAACGUACCCCCGGCUCCGGAAUAGCUGCGGUCUUCGGACCUUUGCGAAAAUGCAGGUAAUACCGGAUGAUAUCCAUUUAUCGCAUGAUAUAUGGAUCAAAGGUUUCGGCUGGCCAGGGAGCGGCCUACGUCGUAUCAGCUUGUUGGUAGGGUAACGGCCUACCAAGGCAGCGACGCGUAGCGGGACUGAGAGGUUGACCCGCCACAUCGGGACUGAGACACUGCCCGGACCUCCACGGAGGGCUGCAGUAACGAAUAUUGCGCAAUGGGCGCAAGCCUGACGCAGCGACGCCGCGUGUAGGAUGAAGCCUUUCGGGGUGUAAACUACUGUCGGGGUGAAGAAAGUCCCGCACCUAUUUUGCAAUCUUUUUGACUAUCGAAAGUGGCUAAGGUUAAGGUUAGUUAUAGAGGAUAGUGUUCAGGAUAAAAGAUGAUUGCACAAUAGGUGCGGGAUUGAUCGAACCCAAAGGAAGGACCGGCUAACUUCGUGCCAGCAGCCGCGGUAAUACGAAGGGUCCAAGCGUUGUUCGGAAUUACUGGGCUUAAAGAGCACGUAGGCGGGAAGUUAAGUGUCUUGUGAAAUCCCUCGGCUCAACCGAGGAACUGCUUGGCAUACUGGCUUCCUUGAGGCAAGUAGGGGUGCAUGGAACUCUAGGUGGAGCGGUGAAAUGCGUAGAUAUCUAGAGGAACGCCAGCGGAGAAAUCGGUGCACUGGGCUUGUCCUGACGCUGAGGUGCGAAAGCGUGGGUAGCGAACGGGAUUAGAUACCCCGGUAGUCCACGCCGUAAACGAUGUCUACUAGGUCGUGGUGGUUCUGACGCCUUCGCGGCCGAAGCAAAAGUGUUAAGUAGACCGCCUGGGGAGUACGGUCGCAAGGCUAAAACUCAAAGGAAUUGACGGGGGCUCACACAAGCGGUGGAGCAUGUGGCUUAAUUCGAAGCAACGCGUAGAACCUUAUCCUGGGUUUGACAUGCUUGGAUGCCUGCCCUGAAAGGGGAUUUGGCUGCCUUCGGGUGAAACUUGCACAGGUGCUGCAUGGCUGUCGUCAGCUCGUGUCGUGAGAUGUUGGGUUAAGUCCCUUAACGAGCGAAACCCUUGUCGUUAGUUGCCAGCGGGUCAUGCCGGGGACUCUAGCGAGACUGCCGGUGUCAAACCGGAGGAAGGUGGGGAUGACGUCAAGUCCUCAUGGCCUUUAUGCCCAGGGCUGCACACGUGCUACAAUGGCGGCAACAAACCGAAGCGAGACCGUGAGGUGGAGCAAAUCGGAAAAAUGCCGUCCCAGUUCGGAUUGUAGGCUGCAAUUCGCCUACAUGAAGUCGGAAUCGCUAGUAAUCGCAGAUCAGCUACGCUGCGGUGAAUAUGUUCCCGAGCCUUGUACACACCGCCCGUCAAGUCACGGAAGCUGGGAGUACCUGAAGUCGGGUGGCUAACCUUCGGGAGGCGCCUGCCGAUGGUAAGCCUGGUAACUGGGGCUAAGUCGUAACAAGGUA
rnacentral:rRNA from 1 species